CCUACGGGAGGCAGCAGUGAGGAAUAUUGGUCAAUGGGCGCGAGCCUGAACCAGCCAAGUAGCGUGAAGGAUGACUGCCCUACGGGUUGUAAACUUCUUUUAUAAGGGAAUAAAGUGCAGCAUGUAUACUGCUUUGCAUGUACCUUAUGAAUAAGGAUCGGCUAACUCCGUGCCAGCAGCCGCGGUAAUACGGAGGAUCCGAGCGUUAUCCGGAUUUAUUGGGUUUAAAGGGAGCGUAGGCGGGUUGUUAAGUCAGUUGUGAAAGUUUGCGGCUCAACCGUAAAAUUGCAGUUGAUACUGGCAGCCUUGAGUACAGUUGAGGUAGGCGGAAUUCGUGGUGUAGCGGUGAAAUGCUUAGAUAUCACGAAGAACUCCGAUUGCGAAGGCAGCCUGCUAAACUGUAACUGACGCUGAUGCUCGAAAGUGUGGGUAUCAAACAGGAUUAGAUACCCUAGUAGUC
rnacentral:rRNA from 1 species